CCUACGGGUGGCAGCAGUGAGGAAUAUUGGUCAAUGGGCGGGAGCCUGAACCAGCCAAGUCGCGUGAGGGAUGAAGGAUCUAUGGUUCGUAAACCUCUUUUAUAAGGGAAUAAAGUGCGGGACGCGUCCCGCUUCGCAUGUACCUUAUGAAUAAGGAUCGGCUAACUCCGUGCCAGCAGCCGCGGUAAUACGGAAGGUCCGGGCGUUAUCCGGAUUUAUUGGGUUUAAAGGGAGCGUAGGCCGGCUUUUAAGUCAGCUGUUAAAGUCCGCGGCUCAACCGUGGAAUUGCAGUUGAAACUGGAGGCCUUGAGUGCACACAGGGAUGCCGGAAUUCAUGGUGUAGCGGUGAAAUGCUUAGAUAUCAUGAAGAACCCCGAUCGCGAAGGCAAGUGUCCGGGGUGCAACUGACGCUGAGGCUCGAAAGUGCGGGUAUCAAACAGGAUUAGAUACCCGUGUAGUC
rnacentral:rRNA from 1 species